rnacentral:rRNA from 1 species
GGUUGUAAACCUCUUUCAGCAGGGAAGAAGCGCAAGUGACGGUACCUGCAGAAGAAGCACCGGCUAACUACGUGCCAGCAGCCGCGGUAAUACGUAGGGUGCGAGCGUUGUCCGGAAUUAUUGGGCGUAAAGAGCUCGUAGGCGGCCUGUCGCGUCGGAUGUGAAAGCCCGGGGCUUAACCCCGGGUCUGCAUUCGAUACGGGCAGGCUGGAGUGUGGUAGGGGAGAUCGGAAUUCCUGGUGUAGCGGUGAAAUGCGCAGAUAUCAGGAGGAACACCGGUGGCGAAGGCGGAUCUCUGGGCCAUUACUGACGCUGAGGAGCGAAAGCGUGGGGAGCGAACAGGAUUAGAUCCCUGGUAGUCCACGCCGUAAACGUUGGGAACUAGGUGUUGGCGACAUUCCACGUCGUCGGUGCCGCAGCUAACGCAUUAAGUUCCCCGCCUGGGGAGUACGGCCGCAAGGCUAAAACUCAAAGGAAUUGACGG